GGCAGAAGCCAGGCAGGCUCAGGAGCCCCUCAGCCUCGGCAUGUGGCAGCCCUGCAGAGGCCUGCGGGUGCCAGGAGCGGGACUGUGCCCCUUCUGAAAGGAGUGGGCUCAGAGGGAUGCCCCCGGCACCCACAGCCCCAGGGAGCACACAGCACCUUCCUCUCUGGCUUCCUGUGGAGCCGGCCGCCCUGGAAUUAUCCACCAGCUCCUGGUUGCUUCUCCUGCCCCAGCUGAGGACAGGCCGAGCAAAGGCGCAGCCCCCCGGUCAGGCACCAGCCUCCCCACCAUCCCUCCCCCACCUCAGCACCACAAGGGCCCGGCUCUUUCCUCCCUCCCCAAACACCCAGAUGCCUCAGAUCCACCAGGUCCCUAUCCUGGUGACACUUGUCCUGGUGACAUCUCCCCAAGCCAGAUAGUUUCCACCUGUCCUACCCCGGCUGGCUCCUGCCCACCAGCUUUCCCAGGCUUGCCACGUGCCCCCAGUCCAAUCGGCCCAAGGCCAACCUUCGGCCAGGGGGCUGUGCACUCCCUGCCUGCCCUCCCUCCGGGGGGCGCAGAGGCAGUGGCUCACACUCCCUGGAGGAUCAGGACUCUCUGUCUGGCCCUGGGCUCCCAGAGGCCACACAGCUGCAGGGAGACAGGCCACCUUGAUGCUAUGCCCACUGGGCUGGGUCUCAGGCGAGGAGUGCUCCCACCGCAUGUCCUCAAGUCACAACAGCUGUUCACUGUCCACACUCAUGUCGUCAUGACACCCACACGUGGGGACAGGUUCAGAGUCACACAGCAGGAAGUCUAGUAUAGCUGAGAGCCAUCCCCAGGCCUGGCCGGCUCCAGAAGAGGUGGGGACACUCCCCCCAGCUGUCCCCAGGGCUAGAGCAGACAUGGGAUGCUCAUGCCCUGCACAGGUCGAGUCAGACCCAGGGAGGCUGAAGAUGUGUGUGGGCAUCACAUCUGGGCCAGAAAGAAACGGUGUGUGUGGAACGGGUAGUUCUCUGGAAAGAGGCCCCUGUGUGCAGGAGGCCUCCCACACAGCUUGGAAGUGGUGGGUGGGGGCAGCCCGGGGCUCAGGGUCUUGCUGUCACAGCAGGAGGGAGGCCAUGGUGGGCGAGGGGAGCUCAGGGGCGCUGGGGAGAGAUGCCCCGGGCAAAUGCUGGCACCUGAGGGCUCCACCUCCUUGGCCUGCUCCAGCACCACACGGCACCCUGCACCCCAGCCCUCUCCAGAGCCCCAAGAGAUGAGCAUCACCGUCUCUAGCUGCCAGGCCGCAAAACAAGGAAGUGGGGACCACCCUCCCUGACCCCCCAGGGGGAACAUUUCUGUGCACAUGGGGAUCCCCCCGGGGCUUCAUGCGACAGCACUGUGAUAGCUGUGGUACUGGUGGGCCUGAGAACUUCUGGGGCCUGAGAAAACCUUGUGCCCCACCUGGCACUUGUCAGCACCCUAUGCAGGUCCUAAUCACCCACAAAGCACUUGGACGUGCAGGACACAGGCCUCUGACUACUGCCCUGGAGAAACAGCUGCUCCCCACCUCAGGGCCACCCUGAGGGCCUAAGAGGGUGGGAGCUCCUGCACCACUAUGCCACCCUCAGGGCCACCCUGACCUUGCUCCCCCACGGCCAGCAGGAGCCCCCGUGAGCAGGGAGGGGCUGGUCUAACCUGUGAGCUGGCUGUUCGGGGUUAAUCCUGGGGGGGGCAGGUGCCCCUGGCCACCUUGCCUGGGUGCUGAAGGGUGUGCUCCAGCCUGCCCCUGGAGUCACCCUUGCCACUGGCCUAGUCACAGUGAGUGCCCCAGGACCGCCUGAGCCUGGCAGGCUCCUGGGAGGAGGACUGAUGCCGAGGGGGUGCACGGCCCUGGGCUGAAGACAUGCCCAGCACCUGAGAAGCCCCUUGACCUCAGGGCAGGAUGAGCCUCACACUAUCAGGGUGCCCCGCUGCCUCUCCAAGGGACACCUAACCUUAAUCCCCCAGAGCAAACUUCAACAAUCGAUCAUAAGAAAACAAACAUCUGAGGACAUCACUUGAUCCCCACGGGGGCUUUGCCUGACAGACCCCUCUCCCCACUCUAGCCCCAGGACCUGUGGGUGACCAAGAAGACAAGGAAGAUGGUGGCAAGGGCAAGAGCCCUAAGGGAGAGGUCCUGGUCCAGCCCCGGUCAAGGGCCAGCCCUGGGAAGUCCUGACCUUCACAUCCCCAGCCACCAUCCACCCAGCACCCCUGGGCGGCCAGCGGGGAGGUGAAGCACUUGCAUACCCGUCAGGGCUGCAGAGGGGGAGCUGUGAGCCUGGGAGCCCAGGGAUGGCCGCCAAAGCCAGAAGGAGCCAGAGAAAGUGAGACUGGACGACUCCAGCCUUGUCUGUGUGAGUAGCCCCUGGCCUGAAGGUGGUCCAGACUGUCUCAAGGCGUCCGUGUUGAGUGAGGAGCAGCAGAGGACAAACAGUAGCCUUGGGGUAGAGACUGUCAUCCCUAUGCAAGUGGAAAGGAAGACUCCAAGGCCAAGAGGCGUGUGGUGGACUGGGGAGUGGAAGCCAGACUAACGGACCAACGUGUGCAAGAGCCCAGGCCUGCACCCGGGGCGGCGUGCAGAGCGUGUGGCGGGCCUGCUCACACCUCUCUGGCCACCUUCCUCUCAGCGGGCAGCACAGCCCCCUCGAGUGGCCACACCCUCCUUGGAAACACGCACCUGUGCUUUGCGUCACACGCCCCAGGCCUGCACCCCCAGCAGAGGUGGCUCCUGGCCCUGCAAAGCCAAGACCCAGACCUAGAGCUAGCUGCUGGCCAAAGUGCCACCGGCUGCGCUGCCCACGGGACCACGUGGCCCAGUGGCCUCUCACGGCCACCCUUCUCAAGACCUGACCCAACGCAGACCUGCAGGCUGCUCCUGUUCCUUUCCACCAGCCGUUACCCCAGCCCCCACCUUGACCUAACCCCAGUCUUCCCCAGGCUAAGUCCAACGCUGCCUUUUAGGGAGCAAGAAUGCUUCUUAGAGUUAACAGUCCAAGUUCUCAGCACUGGGCUUUGAGCUGCCAGCUGGUCUGGAGGUGCAGGCCUCCCCGCUAUGGGAUGCUGGCUCUGUGUGUCGUGUGCCUGAGCAAUCUCUCUGCCGGGAGCGUGCCAGCCUCCCAGGCCCACGGCAGCCAGCUUCCUCUCCUUUCCCUGAUGGCUGAGAAAGAAGCUCGCCUUCCACCCCGGGCACACAGACCCCAGCUGCAGCCCCAUCUCAUUCUCACUAGAGCCUCUGGCACUCAGAAGCGGCUCAGACUACGCUCUGCAGCUGCAAAGUAUCGUUGAUGUCACUGAGUCCAGCUGUUUUGCCUGUUUGACCCACGAGUGAGGACACAGGUGGGGGACAAGGACCUGCCCAGGGAAACAAAGAGGGCUGGGCGCAAGGACCCCUGUCCCUCGGUCCAGGGCAGCAUCCACCUCAGCAGACAGCUGUGCCCAUGCCACGCUCAGCUCUGCGGGGAUGAGCACACGAGUAUGCAUGCACCUCCACCAGUGCCUGACCUGCAGGGCCUGCCCAAGGCCCCAGUCACCAUGGGGCGGAGCCAGGGUCUCGGUCACGGAUGCCAGGGCUGUUGUGCGCAGGCACUGACACAGCCGUGGCCCAUGUCAGCUUGGCUGACCUGGCAAUUCCAGCCCAGCUGGGGGCUCAGGAGCGGAGCCAGCCUCAGAGGGAGAGAAACAAGGUUGGGGUGGGGGACAGAGCAGCUUCAGGAAGAAGAGGCAGGCCUGUGGGCUGGAUGCUGUUGGACAGGGAUCUCCCCACAUGGCGGCAGGGGUGGGGAUGGCUGGGACCAUCAGGGACAGCCAAUGGGACCACGUGGAGGGCAAGGGGUGCCUAGUGUGUGCAGUGGGGCUGCACGUGGCCUCAUGGAGAGAGGGACUGCCAGGGGUCUGGGGAAUGGGCAGCAAGGAGAAGAGACACCAGCAGGCUUUGAUGCCUCUCGGGGUGAUCUGGGACUUGGCAUGUGUUUGAUGGGGCCCAAGAGAGCCUCCUCAGAGCAAGAGGGUGCUAACACUUGGCUCCUUUGAGCCCGCCCCACGUCAGGGUUGGAAAUGAGAGCUACCGUCCAGGCUUCUAGAAUAACCCAGUCUUUGGAGGGCUGCUGAGCUGCUUCCGUUUCAUCUCAGGAGGGGAGCCCGCAUCCUAGAAAAGCCAUGUCUGAUGUGCACAUGGAGAAAACUAGGACAACCCAUCCACCAUCUGACCCCUGGCUCCUAAUGAGUGGCCUUUAUGGACCCAGGGGCAUCUGUGCUGAUUAAGUGGAGCCAGGUUCAGGCCACAAGUGGUGGCAGUGGCCGUGGCCUGUGCCAGGUGUCUUCCCAGCACAGGAUCCUCAUGCAGGGAGGGGCUGAGCUGAAGGGGUGGCGGGGGUCAGGCACUGACCACAGACAAAGCCCAGGCAGAGCUGGUGCCUCCACUGGCAUUCAGGUCCCAAGCAGGCUUACAACCCGCCACCUCCCCCAAACCCUUCACACUCAUGUAGAACAGCAGAAGGGGAACAAACUCGUCCAGGCUUGUCCUGCAGAGCAGGGCUCUGUCCCCAACCUGCAGGGGUGCCCUGAACCAGAAGAACAAAUGUGAGAUGUUACAAGCGCAGCAUUCCUCCCCUCUCUAGAGCGCCGUGCAGCCUCUGCUGUGGCCUGGGGGCCUCCCACUGAGCUGUGAGGAACAAGGACGAGGACCGGCCCCUGGGAGCAGGGCCCCCACACCUGCCGGACGCUCCUGCUGGCAGGUGGCGGAACUUGCAGAGGCCUGAGUUCACGACCCAAGCCAAGCAGCGUUGCAGCACAUAUCCAAUCACUCUCUGGCUAGAGUGCACCCUCCCCCGGACGUACCUCUGGAUGACCAUGGACGUGGGCAGCCCUGGGGACAGCCAGCCCCGCCCUCUCCAGCACCACGUGCCCCACCCAGUGCUGACCCUCAUGUGCCAUUUGGCCUCUCUCUCUUCCCUCUCCUGGACCACCUUCUCCCUGGUCUGUCCAGCCACCUUGCCCCCUUCUCCUUGCUGUAGCUGGCCGACCCCCUCUCCUGCACCCUCGGCACACGCAGGGUGCCGGGUGCACUGCUCACACCCGGCCCCGAGGAAGGGGGGCUGAGGCAGGGGCUCCCGCAGGUCGACCCCUCCCUCCGAGAGCUCGCUGCGCCCGAGCACCGCCAUCUCCUCCUCUUGGGUUUCCCGUGGUGCCCCUGCUGCAGGGCCGGCUUCAUUCCCCACCCAAGAGGGGCCUGGAGCCCAGGGUUUCCCACCCCUCCUCUGAGUAGGGCCAGGCGGGUCCCUCUCUGGAAAUAAAGCCCAGCACUGAGCCGCUGGGGCUGGGGCAGCCUCCCCUGCAGCCCGGAGCGGGCCCUUGCUCGUCUGUCCUAAGCAAAUUUGCCAGUGUCCCCACAUGGGGAGCUGCGGGGUGGGUGUGACAGGACGUUAUCUGAGAGUCAGUGCCACCCUGGCAAGGGGCUGGGCUUCCUGGGGAAGCUCCACCUGCUUUGGCAUACGCUAAUUUUAGACUUCUUAUACCUAAUUAGAGAUCAACAUUUCAAAAUUUGUUUUUAAUCAACCAAAUUCCUGCACAUCCUUCCCAACUGGCCCCGAGCCACCUCGCCUCCUUCCCACGGACCCCACUGAGCCUGUGUGCUCUUUUCCACGAAGUCCCUUCCCCCAGCUGCCUCCUCCUCCUGCCGGGGCCUUCCUGGACCCUCUCCUGGACACAGUGGCCCCGGGGCACAUGUGGUAAUGGUCUCCCGUGAUCCUCGAUAACCCCGUGAGGUGGGUCUGGUCAGCCCCAGUUUACAGAUGAAGAAACUGAGUCUUACCAAUACUGAGCAGCUCGCCCAAAGCCACCAGCUAUGGGUGGGGCCAGGCAUGGUGCAGGGCCUGAGGCUGGCCAGGAGCAGAAUUGAGCGUGAGGGCGUGGGCGGCCUUUGAGUGGCCUCAGCCUGGCCUGUGAGGGAGUACAUGCUCUGCCCCCAGGGGCACGUGGUGGCCACAGCCCAUCACCAUGGAAACCAGGCAGGGGCCCCUGGAGCCUUCAGCUCUGGUUUGGAUUUCAAACCCAAUGCCGCUUUCUCAGAAGCAACUUGGUCAAACUUUCCAAAUAGGAAAAGUGGAAGGAAAAAGAGAGAGAGAGAAAUUCCCAGCCUGAAGCCACCUCAGAAAGACGGCCUGGGCCCUGAGCUGGGGAAGCCCUGUCUGGGUGGGCAGUGUGGUGGCAGGGCAGAGACCCCGUAGCCUCCCCAGGGCUCAUGCACCUCCUCUGGGGAGCAGGCGGUGGUGGUGCAGCCGAACCAGGUGGGUCCGGCCCUUCCUGUCUCUGCGGGAGCAGCUGCCCUUUUGUGUUUCCCAGUGGGGUGUGUGAGAAAGGGCUCUUUUGGAAAAAGGGUUGGAAAACCACUGACCUCAUCCAGCUGGCCCGCCUUUGGAGAUGGGGAAACUGAGGUCAGGGUCGGGACCAGGAAGUCAAAAGCAGGGCUAAACCCCGAAGGUAGGGCAGCAUGGCUACACCCAGAGCAGGCGCACCGGAAGAUCUGUGGGUCGGGCCCCAUGUGGACAGGGCGCUGGGGUAUCCACACUCCAGCCCCCUGCAGCAGCCCCGGCUCCACGCCAUGGGGGUGCCUCCCAGCCCUGUGCUCGGGCUCCUGGGCCAGCGCCCAUCGCCACAGGAAGGCCGUCCUCCCUUGGGGCUUCCACUCCAGCUCAGGAUGACUCUGAGCUACCCAGGGCACACCCGGGAAGCCUGCAAGGAAGGGGAGGUGAAUGAGCAGCAGCCACAGGCACGGUGCCCUGAGGGGAUGGGGGACAGGCAAAGGCCACCAGAUACACUCUGCCCUCCCCUAUGCCCCCACCCAUUGCCAGACCCCUUAGGGACCCUCAGCUGCUCUCCACCCUGCCCCCUCCCACCCCCAGAACCCUCUGUGGAGGGGUAUGCUCCUGCCCACUGCUUUCACUGUCAAGACAGGUGUUUGGAGACGUGAUGGCAAGGCAGUCACGCACUCUGGCAGGGGUGGGCCCGGAAUGGCCACGUCCUGAUUGCACCAGGCUGCUCCCUGGGGCCCAGUGUAUGGCUUGUGGCCAUCUUGACACUGUUGGGACCACAGGGCUCUCGAGUGCCAAGCGCUGGACGUUCACAUCCCCCAUCUCACAAAUGAGGAGGUUGGGUCUGUGCAGCCACAGGGCACCUGACUCGGUCAGAGGUGCGCCGGCCCACGGGGGCGGCCCCCCGGCAAAAGCAGUGAGCCUUGGCUCAGCCGCAGCCCCCACACUCCCUGGCUCUGUGGCUCAGGGCUUGUGGUCUUCAGAGUCCCUCCUGCUGGGCUGGGGUGGGGCCAGCUAAUCAGGGCCAGGCAAGCAGGAUGAUGCCCAGGGCGGAGGUGGGCUUGAACCUCCACUCCUGCCGGGCUGGGCGCAGGCUGGGUGGGGAGGGCGGUGGGCAGGAGGUGAGAAGCAUCCGAGCUCUGCUCCCUGCGGGCUGCGCGAUGCUGGGCCUCAGUUUGCUCACCGUGAGAUGGGAAUCAUGGGGCCACAGGGAGGAGGAAAUGUCUGCUGUCCCCGAGCUCCUCUGUGCCCCAUGGAAGCAAGCCCUGUGGCCUCCCUUCCACGGCAGAGGCCUGCUCCCUGACAUUGUUUCCCACCUCAGCCCAAGGGCCAGGCCACAGCCACUGCCCUCCCACAGGCUGGGAGCCACAGGGAGGGCCUGCAUCCGGAGUGAGCCCCAGCACUCCAUGGGCCAAGAGGACUAAGCAGAGACUGGCGUAGCCAAGCAUCCUCCUUCGCAAAGGACAGGUUCCUGCAGUGACUCUGCCACAGCCGAGGCCUCGGGGAGCCCCCUUCCUCCUGGCCCUGCCCCGCUGGGUCCUGCUCCUGUGGCCUCAGGAAACACAGCCCUCCCUCGGCCCUCUCCCACGGCUCCCUGCGGCUCCCUGCCAUCCGUGGUCUGAGCAGCUGCCUGCCCUGCUCCACUUUCCAAACCCUCAAGAGGGCCCUGGGCCUCCUCCGGAAGCUGCCCCCCUGCCGCCCUCCAGACGGCGCCUGCCUGGGGCAGUGUCCCAGGGGGAUGAAGCUGAGCCUGAUACGUGCCUGCCUCAGAAAGACUCAGCGGAGACACUGAUUCCAGGAGCUAGCCUCUGAGAAAUAACUUGCAGUGGGAAAAGCAGUGCACACUGGAAAAUGUUCUUCUCUCAGGAAUGUUGCACAGCAAGCUCCUGACCAUUCUGGAUGCGGAUACAAACACUGCUGUCCCGGGGCUGGCCAGAAACUCUGGGGUGGAGGCUGCCCGCAGGAUGUGGGACCCGGGGCAAGUCCCGUGCCCCACUGGGGGACCAUCAUGGUGGGGUCGAGAAUGCUAAGGGCUGAAGCACACUGCCGCCUUCUGCCAGGGCAUCCUGGCAUGGCCACCGCGGUGAGCCCACACCUGGACACAGAAACUGUCCCCAAGGGCCUGGCAAAAAUGCACGUGGGGGCAGCCCGUCCAGAGGCUGAUUAUGUCUGAUUGGUUUUUAAAGUCUAGCUGUGAAUGGGGGUGGCUUGGCUUGGGCAGGGAUUUAUGACCGCUGUGGUCCUGUCAGGGCGGGGGCCGGGGCAUCCUACAGACGGGAAGGCCUUGGGCACCUGCUCCAGGCUGAACCGGGCCCAGUGGGCUGGAGGCUGUGAAGUCCCAUGAAGCUUGCAGAGCCGAGGACACGGGAAGGAAGGAGAGCUCAGGGUGAUGCUAAGAAGUCACAAGCUUGCUAACCGUUUAAAGACUCUUAAAAACUGGGCCUUUUCCCUUGGAGAACUUGAAGUGAUUCUUUUGUUUACUUUGCUUUUGCAACCGGCCCAUCAAUCAACUCAAUAAUGCUAAAAAUAGCGCCACAGCAGCAAUUCCUACUACAGCCUAGUGUUCGAUUUCCUCAAUUUAAACUUUUCCCUUCUUUUCUGUUCUCUAAUUCCCACUG